GAUGAACGCUGGCGGCGUGCCUAAUACAUGCAAGUCGAGCGAACAGAUGAGGAGCUUGCUCCUCUGACGUUAGCGGCGGACGGGUGAGUAACACGUGGAUAACCUACCUAUAAGACUGGGAUAACUUCGGGAAACCGGAGCUAAUACCGGAUAAUAUAUUGAACCGCAUGGUUCAAUAGUGAAAGACGGUUUUGCUGUCUUUUAUAGAUGGAUCCGCGCCGCAUUAGCUAGUUGGUAAGGUAACGGCUUACCAAGGCAACGAUGCGUAGCCGACCUGAGAGGGUGAUCGGCCACACUGGAACUGAGACACGGUCCAGACUCCUACGGGAGGCAGCAGUAGGGAAUCUUCCGCAAUGGGCGAAAGCCUGACGGAGCAACGCCGCGUGAGUGAUGAAGGUCUUCGGAUCGUAAAACUCUGUUAUUAGGGAAGAACAAAUGUGUAAGUAACUAUGCACGUCUUGACGGUACCUAAUCAGAAAGCCACGGCUAACUACGUG
rnacentral:rRNA from 1 species